UUGACAGCAGUGACAUUGAAACAACAUCGUUACAUACUUGAGAGGAAAGAUGAUUGAUAAAUCAUGGAUUUAGAGUAGAGUGGGAGGCCGUCUCGUGAUAGACCAGCGCACUUGCACCCUGACGGAAAAGACAAAAUAAUAUCAACAACCACAAUGAUAAUACUGCAUUGAAGCAGUCAUACAUACAGUAUUAGUACUAAUAGUAGUAAUGAAAUGAUCAGAAUCAUUGUAAAAACUAUAAUCAUGUUGCCGACAUCACCGUCACUGUAAUAAAACCAACAUAAUAACACCCUGGCUAACUCAGUGAGUCAUGUGGGGAAGUACGUAUGUACUGUGGGUGUGUAUAUGUACGUGUGUACAGGUAUCUCUGUAUGUGUACAAGUCUUCCUGUGUAUAAAGGUGCAAGAAUGUGUGUGUGUGUAGUUGUCACUGAGAAUGCAUGAAAGGAGAGGGACUGUCUCCCACCACCCAGCAAGCUGCGCCCCACACAGCCAGGCCGAGCCCCCACCGCCAGAAAGCCACAGGGGCACGAGGCACAGAGACCAACCCCCAUGAGACGGUCCCCUCAGCACCCCCAACACCGGAGCCCCACCAGGAGCAGCGUCCACAAUGCCAACAUAAAGAUAUGUUCAAUUUCUUCCUUGAUUCCCAAUUGAUGAGAAUGGUUUCCUUGGCGAUGCUUAAAGCGGUGAUGAGAAGCUGUGUUUGGUUUGUUUCUACAUGGAUUGUGGAGAGAUCACCCAGCAGGCAUAAUAAAGGAGAAGUAGGAAUGAAGAUCCCAAGUGCCAAAGAUAGGUCCUGACACACUCCGUGCCAGAAAUUAUUAAUGGGAGCACAGGCCCACAUGGAGCGUCAGCAGAUUUCUAUGUCUCCACUUCUUACACAUCUCUGGACCCAGUUCAACGUACAGCGGUGUUCAAUUUCCAGUUGAAUGCGAUUUCAUGAGCAGGAAGUUGAACAAGACUGCGAGAAAUGCCCGCCCCCAACAGCUUUUGCUCAAACAGUGAAAAUGUGGCUCUGUUUCGCGCCAGACCGAAAUGGAGGAUUUGGGCGUAGCGGUGAAUGAACAGAAAUCAAACCUGUUUGAUUUCUGUUUUAAAAGUGUGUGUCUGUUGUUA